GAUGAAGAACGUAGCGAAAUGCGAUAAGUAGUGUGAAUUGCAGAAUUCAGUGAAUCAUCGAAUCUUUGAACGCACAUUGCGCCCCUUGGUAUUCCAUGGGGCAUGCCUGUUCGAGCGUCAUUUGUACCUUCAAGCUCUGCUUGGUGUUGGGUGUUUGUCUCGCCUCUGCGUGUAGACUCGCCUCAAAACAAUUGGCAGCCGGCGUAUUGAUUUCGGAGCGCAGUACAUCUCGCGCUUUGCACUCAUAACGACGACGUCCAAAAGUACAUUUUUACACUCUUGACCUCGGAUCAGGUAGGGAUAUCCGCUGAACUUAAGCAUAUCAGUAAGCGGAGGA
rnacentral:misc_RNA from 1 species